UACAGAGGUGGCAAGCGUUGUUCGGAAUUACUGGGCGUAAAGGGCGCGUAGGCGGCCUUCUAAGUCAGACGUGAAAUCCCUCGGCUCAACCGAGGAACUGCGUCUGAUACUGGAAGGCUUGAAUCCGGGAGAGGGAUGUGGAAUUCCAGGUGUAGCGGUGAAAUGCGUAGAUAUCUGGAGGAACACCGGUGGCGAAGGCGGCAUCCUGGACCGGUAUUGACGCUGAGGCGCGAAAGCUAGGGGAGCAAACAGG
rnacentral:rRNA from 1 species